rnacentral:lncRNA from 1 species
UUUUCAUUCCCGUUGUUAUGGAGGUAGGCUCUCUAGGAAUCUGGGAGUAGUAGCUGGGGGGCAAGAGCAAAUAAAGAGCUCGAGCUUCUGUGGUCUCUGGGGAGAUGUUCCCGGGAAGCCUGUCUAGAGGGCGGAGGGCAGCUGUUGAGAUGGCGUGGCUCCCCGGCUCCUGCGCCCGCGUGGCUUUCGCGGCGGGCGCUGCGGCCCGGUAUUGGACAGCCUGGCAGGGCAGCGCGGGGCCGAAUCCGGCUGCCGUGGCUGAGGCUCAUGGAUCACUCUUUUGUGGUAGGGCCACAUCUGCCAGAGCCUGGAGUCUGCGAAGGCCGGGACCCGGUUCCCCGGCCCACAGUGGGGGUGUGCAAACCCGAGAGAACUGGGUUGCAAAUUCGUGAAGAAUCAGCAUCAUGUUUGGCAGCUGAGUAUUGGAGCCAGGAGCCUGCCAUGAGGUUUUGAGAACAGAGUGCUGUUUUAGAGCUGGCAGCAGCAUCUCAGCCCAAGAGAAGAUUGAAAUGUAGUUUCUUUGCAGGUUAUAUUCCCAGAGGAUGUCAGUCCCAAGGACCAGUAGCUGCCAUCAGUUUGGAUUCUGAAAACUAACUGGCAUCAACACUGGGUGUAGAAACAUGCUUGCCUUAUGUAUCAGAGGACAUGCUCAGCAGAUCCAAGAGAUAUAUUUGGCAACUUUUUCUAGAAAAGGCACAUUGGGUAUCAUUCAUUACAUUCUUGAGUUUUUUUGGGUUUUUUUUUUUUUUUUUGAGACAGUCUUGCUGUAUUGCCCAGGCUGGAGUGUGGUGGCACAAUCACAGCUCAUUGCAUCCUCAAUCACCCAGGCCUAAGCAAUCCUCCCACCUUGUAGCUGGGACUACAGCUCACAGCACACCUGGCUAAAAUUUUUUUUUUGUUGAGACGGAUUCUCUAUGUUGCCCAGGCUGGUCUCAGGCUCCUGGGCUCAGAUGGUCCUCCUGCCUCAGCUUCCAAAGGCACAGGCCAAGUUGUAGCUUUGUCCCUUGCCAUCAUGCCCAACAAGAGGUUCUAUACCUUUUAAUGAAUUGACUUUCAUAAAUUGGUUAUGUUGGUGGGCAAAGUUCUUUAAGCUGGAAAUUGUAAAUUCCUCCUGAAAUGUUUUUUCAUGCAGUUACCAUGAACUAAUACUACAAUAAAGGAUGGUCUUGGGUGUCAA